AGGGCAUAUUGGACAAUGGGCGCAAGCCUGAUCCAGCCAUACCGCGUGGGUGAAGAAGGCCUUCGGGUUGUAACGCCCUUUUGGUGGGAGAGAAAAGCAGCCGGCCAAUACCCGGUUGUUCUGGCGGUCCCCAAAGACUAAGCACCGACCAACUUCUUGCCAGCAGCCGCGGUAAUACGAAGGGUGCAAGCGUUACUCGGAAUUACUGGGCGUAAAGCGUGCGUAGGUGGUGGUUUAAGUCCGUUGUGAAAGCCCUGGGCUCAACCUGGGAACUGCAGUGGAUACUGGGCGACUAGAGUGUGGCAGAGGGUAGUGGAAUUCCUGGUGUAGCAGUGAAAUGCGUAGAGAUCAGGAGGAACAUCCGUGGCGAAGGCGACUGCCUGGGCCAACACUGACACUGAGGCACGAAAGCGUGGGGAGCAAACA
rnacentral:rRNA from 1 species